GAGGGUAGAGCUCAGUGGUAGAGCACAUGCUUAGCACGCACGAGGUCCUGGGUUCAAUCCCCAGUACCUCCU
rnacentral:tRNA from 1 species